UGGCUGGUUUACUAGUCCGAAUUGUAGUUUAAAGAAGCGUUUUCGGUGGCAGCCUGGGUAUAAAUCCUUUGGAAUAGGGUAUCAUAGAGGGUGAGAAUCCCGUCUUUGACUCAGUGAAUGCUACUAUGUGAUACGUUUUCAAAGAGUCGAGUUGUUUGGGAAUGCAGCUCAAAAUGGGUGGUAAAUUUCAUCUAAAGCUAAAUAUUGGCGAGAGACCGAUAGCGAACAAGUACCGUGAGGGAGAGAUGAAAAGAACUUUGAAAAGAGAGUUAAACAGUACGUGAAAUUGUUGAAAGGGAAACGUUUGACACCAGUCAUGCGGGUGGAAAAUCAGUCUUUUAGAGUAGGGAGUGGUGGGGGUUCGGAUCGCAAGGCUGGCCUUUAUCUCAUCUCUGCGCUAAUGGAUGCACUUUUUCAUUUGCAGGUCAACAUCAGUUUCUUCUGCUGGACAAAACUCCGAGAGAAGGUAGCAGCUUAGGCUGUGUUAUAGCUCUGGAGCGAUACAGUGGAGGGGACUGAGGUUUUCGCAGUGUGUGCUUUCGGGCAAGGUUGAUUGGGUGCUAUGUGAUCGUUCGGUGUACAAUGCAUGCAUUUUGCGCUGUGUCUUUUGCAUACUCGCCUGACUCGACUCUUCCACGCUUAGGAUGUUGACUUAAUGGUUUUAAACGACCCGUCUUGAAACACGGACCAAGGAGUCUAACAUAUAUGCAAGUGUUUGGGUGGCAAACCCAUACGCGUAAUGAAAGUGAACGUAGGUGCGAUCCGCAAGGUGCAGCAUCGACCGAUCUUGAUAUUUUUGGAUAGAUUUGAGUAAGAGCAUAUAUGCUGGGACCCGAAA
rnacentral:rRNA from 1 species